UAGGGAAUCUUCCACAAUGGACGAAGUCUGAUGGAGCAACGCCGCGUGAGUGAUGAAGGGUUUCGGCUCGUAAAACUCUGUUGUUGGAGAAGAACGGGUGUCAGAGUAACUGUUGACAUCGUGACGGUAUCCAACCAGAAAGCCACGGCUAACUACGUGCCAGCAGCCGCGGUAAUACGUAGGUGGCAAGCGUUGUCCGGAUUUAUUGGGCGUAAAGCGAGCGCAGGCGGUUUUUUAGGUCUGAUGUGAAAGCCUUCGGCUUAACCGGAGAAGUGCAUCGGAAACCGGGAGACUUGAGUGCAGAAGAGGACAGUGGAACUCCAUGUGUAGCGGUGAAAUGCGUAGAUAUAUGGAAGAACACCAGUGGCGAAGGCGGCUGUCUGGUCUGCAACUGACGCUGAGGCUCGAAAGCAUGGGUAGCGAACAGGAUUAGAUACCCUGGUAGUCCAUGCCGUAAACGAUGAGUGCUAAGUGUUGGAGGGUUUUCCGCCCUUCAGUGCUGCAGCUAACGCAUUAAGCACUCCGCCUGGGGGAGUACGACCGCAAGGUUGAAAC
rnacentral:rRNA from 1 species